rnacentral:lncRNA from 12 species
UAAAGACCCUUUGGGGGUCGCCCGUCCGCCUCGGGUCGGGGCGGUCGGGCCCGUGGGGAGGGUCAGUCCCCUCCUCCAGACUCCGCCGCCUCGGUCCCCGCCACCCCGUGGGGUGUGCGGGGGGGGUCGCCACGCCACGUGCCCGGUCCACGCGGCCGCCGGGAGGGGGCUCGCCCCCUGCCCGGUGGCAGUCGUGCCGCGUCCGUGUGCGCGUGCGCCCGCCCCCCCCCCAGCGUCCCCGGUGUGGCGUGGGGCGGGGCAGGUGGGAACCCCCUGGGCGCCUGUGGGGUUGUCCUCGCUCGCCCCCCGCGCCCGCGCGUGCGCGGCGGGGGCGGCGGCCGGACGCCCCGUCGUUCGUCCGACCCUUCCGACCUUCUCGGAGUCUGAUCUCGUGGUCUCUGCUGGCCGGCCAGAGGCGCCCUCCGGGGAUGUGCCGUGCCAGGGAGGGGGGCUCUCCCCUCCGCUCGAAACUCGUACGACUCUUAGCGGUGGAUCACUCGGCUCGUGCGUCGAUGAAGAACGCAGCUAGCUGCGAGAAUUAAUGUGAAUUGCAGGACACAUUGAUCAUCGACACUUCGAACGCACUUGCGGCCCCGGGUUCCUCCCGGGGCUACGCCUGUCUGAGCGUCGCUUGGCGAUCAAUCGCCGCCCCUGGUGGCGGCGCGGCUGGGGGUUCCCUCGCAGGGCCCGGUCUGCCGGGCCCUCCGUCCCCCUAAGAGCAGACGCGGUGCCCGCCCGCGAGAAAAGGAGAGAGGCGAGAGCUCGCGCCGCGGUCCCCUCUUGGGGAGAUCCCUCGCGCCGCACGCGGCCACGGGGUCGCCCGGGUCGUGCGUCUGGGGCGGAGGAGCGGGGGUGUGUGGUUGCGGUCCCGCGCCGCCCCUCCGCUCCCCUCCCCUCGCCCUUCCCCGCUGGCGACCCCCGGCCUUCGCCCUGUCGGGGCGGCUCGCGGCCGCGCCGCGCCGUUGCUCCCCCGGAGCCCGCGGUUGGGUCGCGUCGGGGUCGAGGCGGGCGGAGGGUCGCGGCCGUGGGAGGGACGUCGCGCGCGAGGAAGAGGGAGGCGUGGGGGCCGGGUCGUCGCGCGGGGCG